AAAUGGUGGAUCAUUGUUAUUUUUCUAUGGAUACUGCGUGGGUUACCAAACCCGUUUUUUUGACCCGAAUAUAUAAGCAACUAAACAACCCUAAUUUUCAUAAUCCCUCAUUCAAUCACGUCGUAAUAGUCUAAACCAAGAACACUUUCAUUCAUCAUCAAUCCUUCUCAUCAAUACAUUGAAUCUUCAAACUGGGAAUCAGUGUUGAGACUUUUGUCUCCGAUCUUCUGUUUUACGGUUAAGUUCAUCUGUUCUCUCAUUCAUAUUUGUGUUUCAACGGAGUUUUGAUGUCUUAGAACCCUAACUUCAAUCGCUUCAAUAUGUCAUUCCCUUCAAGCCUAUAAAAUAUGUUCCAUCAUUCUCCGUUUACACCAAUCGAAUUGGUUCAGGUAUGGAUGUUCAAUCUUUUCACAUUCCACAAGUAAGGUAUGGUACCCUGUCUCCCAUCCUAGGGUUUCGUUUUUGAUGUUCGUCAUUACUUCUUUAUGCUACGUUACUCAACAGAUACCAACAAUUCUUUUUACAGAAUUAGGGUUUAAAUUGCGUGCUUCUGAAUUUUUACUCGGUAUACAUUAGGUUUAUACAUACUUAAUUGUUACUAAUUGUAGUUGAUCCGAUCGUAUAGACUAUGAUACAGAUGAUAUGUUGUUGAGUUUUAUUUGGUGCUUUUAUUCCUUUCGGUAUUUCUUAUGUUUGGUCUUUUUUUGUAGAUCAGGAAGAAAAUUAAUUUGGGACCAAAUGUUGAUGAGAGGGUUCGAGGUUUCAAGAUCAUUCUAACACUUAGGGAGAUGAAGAUCUAGGCGGAAAUUAAAGAUUAUUUUGCUGAGAAGGAUGUUUUACAUUAGAGGUGAAACUAAAGAAAGUAGAUCACAACCAGAAUAGGAUAUCCUUGUAUGUUAUUGCUAAGAGCCGGCGGUUAUCAGAAGGGAUCAGCAACCGAUUGGCAGAAACAAGAGGCUGACUUUAUGAGUGUUGAGUAUGAUCUUACCUCAAGUUGGAGCGACCAUAGAUUCAAAGAGUGGUGGAGAUAGGAACUUCAAAGAUGUGAUGCCCUUUGCAACUUGUCAUGAGCGUGAGGAUUUUGGUUUAAAAAAACGCGCCUUAGGCGCACCUAGGCGCAAGGCGACCUAAGGCGCAACCCAAAUCGCUUUGUGUGAUAUAAGGCGCAGGGUGUACAAAAGGCGCAGGUGAAGCGCGCUUUUUAGCCUAAAAUUUGAACUGAGGCGCAGGUGAGGCGCGCGCCUUUUUUACACGGGGUGUUUCUGUGCAGCUGAGUGUUGUAGAAUAGGCUUUUUAUGCUAUACAGUUCUGUUUUUUUUUCAUUUUAAAACAUAUUUAAAGCUUAAUUUUAGCUAAAUCAAAGGUAGGGGAUGCUAAAAACCUAUGGGAUAUAUAAAAUAAUUUAUAUAAUCACUUUGCGCCUUGCGUACGAAAAGCUCACCGCUUUUGCGCUUUGCGCCUCUGUUUUA